CUUUGUUGAUGGUAUUUGAUUAAUACAAUCAAUUAAAACGCCGGCCGAACAUAGUAAUUAAACAACUGUUAACAUUUAACAACACAAACCUCCAUUUAGGACUGACUGGCGUCUCUCUUUUUCAGUGAUUUGACCAACAUGAACGACUUGCUUACGGACUCGUUUGUGAGCGAUGCCAAAGGCCAGCCUUCCAGAGAUAAUGACAUCGAAAUGGGAAUGCGAGAUCCGAGGAGUAAUUCUGAUUUGGGAAUGGAGGCUUUCAAUAAGCAGAUACAAGAGGUUGAAAAACAGGUUGACAAGCUCUCUGGCCUACUUAGGAAACUGAAGGAUGCAAAUGAGGAGUCAAAGUCCGUAACCAAAGCAUCUGCAAUGAAAGCUAUCAAGAAGCGUAUGGAGAAAGAUAUUGAUGAAGUGGGAAAGAUUGCGCGAAAUGUCAAAGCAAAAAUAGAAGCAAUAAAUAGAGAGAAUUUAGCUAAUCGGCAGAAACCUGGGUGUGAAAAGGGAACAAGUGUUGACAGAUCGAGGAUGAAUGUCACGAAUGCCUUGACCAAGAAGUUCAAGGAAGUACUGACAGAGUUUCAGACACUAAGACAAAGGAUCCAAGAUGAGUAUCGUGAGGUUGUGGAGAGAAGGGUCAUUACAGUAACGGGAUCCAGACCGGAUGAAGAGACAAUUGACAACCUGAUCGAAACUGGAAAUAGUGAGCAAAUCUUCCAAAAGGCAAUUCAAGAGCAAGGGCGAGGACAGGUUCUGAAUACCUUGGAAGAAAUUCAGGAGAGACAUGACGCUGUCAAAGAAAUUGAGAAAAAGCUUCUUGACUUGCACCAGGUUUACCUUGAUAUGGCAGUACUCGUUGAGGCUCAAGGAGAGAUUUUAGACAACAUUGAGAGCCAGGUGACAAAUGCAGUAGACCAUGUUAACAUGGGCACAGAUGCUCUUCGUGUAGCAAAGAGCAUGCAGAAGAAGUCAAGAAAAUGCAUGAUGAUUGCCAUUAUCUUGCUCCUGGUUAUUGCGAUUAUCAUCGUACUCUCCAUUUUGAAACCCUGGAAGAAAUAAACACAAAUUCCAUGAUUGCAGGACAAGCUCCAUUCAUCAUAAUUUUAUUUAUGAAACAACCAUAUGUUUUAUUAUUGAUUGCAAGCAAACAUAGCAGACAUUGUAAGUAACGUGUUGAAGGGCUGCAAACUCUUGAGGUACUCCGAUCAGAUCCACCUUUUCUCUGCCAUCUAUUCUGGAUUGCGACUUGCGAGUUCAGAUUUGUGUUGAGAGAGGAAUAGACAUGUGUUAAUUAAACGCAGCGUUUAACUUUUGUCAUUGUCAAAGCGCGCCGUGUGGGCCGACUAAUUAUGGGCUUACACGAACCCACACACAGCCACGUUUUCUUUUAUGAUUAUGCUGACUGUAACCGAACUCAGUGUAGACAUUACAAAUUUUGUAUCAUACCGUAUAUUAAAAAUUAAAUUUUUUAUAUUA